UACGGGGGGGGCAAGCGUUGUUCGGAAUUACUGGGCGUAAAGGGCUCGUAGGCGGCCAACUAAGUCUGACGUGAAAUCCCUCGGCUCAACCGGGGAACUGCGUCGGAUACUGGAUGGCUUGAAUCCGGGAGAGGGAUGUGGAAUUCCAGGUGUAGCGGUGAAAUGCGUAGAUAUCUGGAGGAACACCGGUGGCGAAGGCGGCAUCCUGGACCGGUAUUGACGCUGAGGAGCGAAAGCCAGGGGAGCAAACGGG
rnacentral:rRNA from 1 species